rnacentral:lncRNA from 1 species
AACCUGAAUAAUUAAAUAGCAGUCUUGAACACUCCACCACAGACCGGUUGGAUUUGUUCUUGAGUUCUUCAAUCAGGCAGAAAAAUAAAACGAAGGAAUAAAAAAAACUAGAUUCUAACGUAAGGUUAGAUCCGGUAAAAGGUACACAAUAGUUCCCGGUGUAGAAACUAUUGUGCGAAAAAUUAAUUAAGUGCUAGAAAAGAAAAUAGAAUUGCUAAAGAAACAAUAUAACAAUUAUAAAAGAAGUACUAUAAGGAAUAUGCUUAAGCUGCUGGAAAAAGAAAAAUGCAAAGAAAAACUAAAACUGGAAAACUGUCUGGGAGCGUGGACCCGAGGAAGGGUUUGCAAAGCUGGUAUUUAUAUUGGCACUUUCCGUAACGGUCUUCAGAAGUAGUCCGCGUCAAAGGGUCUUCACGUAUC